CAUAAACGACAGAAUGUCCUUUGUGGUGUGCUCGGCACUGAAGAUGUGUUGCAGUCCUCUCUGGAUGGGGGGAAGGUGGGACUGAGCGGCGGUGCUCUGGAGGAGCUGCAUGAGGAAAGAGAGGCGUGUGCGGAACGACGUGGUUUGGACACUGGAGAGCCACGAGCAAGAUCCGGGUUUUCGUACCAAGCAUGCUGCGGGUGAUGGGAAAGGUCAGCGUGGGACGUCCUGUCAUCCUCCAGCAGGAUGAGAGAACUGCCAUUGAGCUCUGGAAUGCCCUGGUUGGUCUUGUCACCUCGUUCCCACAUCCCAUAAUCCUGCAGAGUGAACGACACGUGUUCAGAGGGUGUCGGUCCUCCUGUGUCUUCUGACCAAUGCGAGUGCGUGGAAAGCCGAUAGUCCCCCGUCUGUGCUGAGGGACCCUCAGUGCAACAGUUUUAACUCAGACAGCUGCUGACAGUGUCAGUGUGAACCCAGGAGCUGAUAAAGGCGCUCUGGUUAUUCCAGCAGCUGAACUUUGCUCACACUUUGUUUAUUUCUCUGCAGCUGAUGUAGUUCAACCUUUAACCACAGAGGAGGAGAAACAUCGGCAUGAAUACAGUGUACAUCAACACCCAUGUGCUUUUUUUUGUUGUUGUUUAAUUGUUUUAUGCAUGUGGAAAACAGGAGCUAAUCAAUAAACAAACUGAUUUGAUUAGA